CCUACGGGAGGCAGCAGUGGGGAAUAUUGCACAAUGGGCGAAAGCCUGAUGCAGCAACGCCGCGUGAACGAAGAAGGCUCUUGGGUCGUAAAGUUCUGUUCUGAGGGAAGAAGAAAGUGACGGUACCUCAGGAGAAAGCCCCGGCUAACUACGUGCCAGCAGCCGCGGUAAUACGUAGGGGGCAAGCGUUAUCCGGAUUUACUGGGUGUAAAGGGAGCGUAGACGGCAGCGCAAGUCUGGAGUGAAAUGCCGGGGCUCAACCCCGGAACUGCUUUGGAAACUGUGCGGC
rnacentral:rRNA from 1 species